rnacentral:rRNA from 1 species
GAUGAACGCUGGCGGCGUGCCUAUCCAUGCAAGUCGCGCGAACAGACGAGGAGCUUGCUCCUCUGACGUUAGCGGCGGACGGGUGAGUAACACGUGGAUAACCUACCUAUAAGACUGGGAUAACUUCGGGAAACCGGAGCUAAUACCGGAUAAUAUAUUGAACCGCAUGGUUCAAUAGUGAAAGACGGUUUUGCUGUCACUUAUAGAUGGAUCCGCGCCGCAUUAGCUAGUUGGUAAGGUAACGGCUUACUAAGGCAACGAUGCGUAGCCGACCUGAGAGGGUGGUCGGCCACACUGGAACUGAGACACGGUCCAGACUCCUACGGGAGGCAGCAGUAGGGAAUCUUCCGCAAUGGGCGAAAGCCUGACGGAGCAACGCCGCGUGAGUGAUGAAGGUCUUCGGAUCGUAAAACUCUGUUAUUAGGGAAGAACAAAUGUGUAAGUAACUAUGCACGUCUUGACGGUACCUAAUCAGAAAGCCACGGCUAACUACGUG